rnacentral:rRNA from 1 species
AUCUGCCGGACUCACUGCUAUCGGGGUGAGACUAAGCCAUGCAAGUCUCAGGCCUACAGCCAUCUGUGGGCCUGGCGUACGGCUCAGUAACACGUGGCCAACCUACCCCGAGGAGGUGGAUAACCCCGGGAAACUGGGGCAUAAACCGCCAUAGACGAUGGGGUCUGGAACGACCCAUCGUUGAAAAUCCUGCAUGGAGAUGCCUGUGCAGGAGCCUCGGGAUGGGGCUGCGGCCCAUCAGGUUGUUGGUGGGGUAACGGCCCACCAAGCCUGUAACGGGUACGGGCCCUGAGAGGGGGAGCCCGGAGAUGGACUCUGAGACAAGAGUCCAGGCCCUACGGGGCGCAGCAGGCGCGCAAACUCCGCAAUGCGCUAAAGCGUGACGGGGUCACCCCGAGUGCCACCCUCGUGGUGGCUUUUGCACAGUGUAAACAGCUGUGCGAAUAAGCGGGGGGCAAGACGGGUGUCAGCCGCCGCGGUAAAACCAGCAAGGGGGAAUU